rnacentral:lncRNA from 1 species
AUUGUUUUACUUCUGUUAUCAUCUAGAAUGGUUAGGUAAUGACUUAACUAAAAUAAAAGAUAAAACUAAGGCCUCACUCGUAGUAAGCUUUUUCGGCAAAAUUGUGUCAACCAAGCACACCCAAAGGCUGACAUGCAUUCCAAAGAAAACUAUUAUAUUGGUUAGUCGGGUAAGACUUGCUGAGUACCCCGUACUCAGGGU